GUGCCAGCAGCCGCGGUAAUACGUAGGGUGCGAGCGUUGUCCGGAAUUACUGGGCGUAAAGAGCUCGUAGGUGGUUUGUCGCGUUGUUCGUGAAAACUCACAGCUUAACUGUGGGCGUGCGGGCGAUACGGGCAGACUAGAGUACUGCGGGGGAGACUAGAAUUCCUGGUGUAGCGGUGGAAUGCGCAGAUAUCAGGAGGAACACCGGUGGCGAAGGCGGGUCUCUGGGCAGUAACUGACGCUGAGGAGCGAAAGCGUGGGGAGCGAACAGGAUUAGAUACCCUGGUAGUCCACGCCGUAAACGGUGGGUACUAGGUGUGGGUUCCUUCCUUGGGAUCCGUGCCGUAGCUAGCGCAUUAAGUACCCCGCCUGGGGAGUACGGCCGCAAGGCUAAAACUCAAAGGAAUUGACGGGGGCCCGCACAAGCGGCGGAGCAUGUGGAUUAAUUCGAUGCAACGCGAAGAACCUUACCUGGGUUUGACAUGCACAGGACGCCGGCAGAGAUGUCGGUUCCCUUGUGGCCUGUGUGCAGUAGUGC
rnacentral:rRNA from 1 species